rnacentral:rRNA from 1 species
CAAAAGCGUAUAUGAAAGUUGUUGCGGUUGAAAAGCUCGUAGAUGGAUUUUGGUCGAGGACGACCGGACCGCCCUCUGGGUGCGUAUCUGGCUCGGCCUGGGCAUCUUCUUGUAGAACGUAUCUGCAAUCGACUGUGCAAUGCGGUAUCCAGGACUUCUAUAGAAAUUAGAAUGCUUCAAGCAGUCAUACGCCUUGAAUACACUAGCAUGGAAUAAUAAAAUAGACCCUCGGUUCUAUUUUGUCUGAUUGAUAGGAUUGAGGAAAUGAUUAGUAGGGAUAGUUGGGGGACAUUCGUAUUUAAACUGUCAUAAGUUAAUUUACUUGGAUUAGUUAAAGACGAACUACUGCGGAAGCAUUUG